UACGUAGGGGGCGAGCGUUGUCCGAAGUUACUGGGCGUAAAGCGUGCGCAGGCGGUUUUGUAAGUCUGACGUGAAAUCCCCGGGCUCAACCUGGGAAUUGCGUUGGAGACUGCAAGGCUAGAGUCUGGCAGAGGGGGGUAGAAUUCCACGUGUAGCAGUGAAAUGCGUAGAGAUGUGGAGGAACACCGAUGGCGAAGGCAGCCCCCUGGGUCAAGACUGACGCUCAUGCACGAAAGCGUGGGGAGCAAACAGG
rnacentral:rRNA from 1 species